rnacentral:lncRNA from 1 species
AAAAUCAUAUAUUACCCCUAAAUUGUUUUGAAAAAAGUUCCUAAAAUUACCCUAAAAUUUUAAAAAACUUUGCUGCUUUCAUUUCUCAAGAACUGGUUACCCAAUUUCUUUCAUUUUUCUGCAUAAAAUUACAUUCUUUAAAUUGAUGCAAAUUUUUUUAUACCUUACAAUUCAAAAUGUUUUUGACUUCUAUUGUGUGAAAUAAUAAAUAAUAUUUAUGGAUAAGUGAAUGUUAUAAUUGUGUGCAAAUUUUUGUUUGAUUUGCUUAAAUUGUUCUCUAGACAUGGAAAAAUACGCUUGAAGUAAAGUUAACAUUAAGAGGUCCGUACGUUGAAAGCUCCAUUGAACAUAUUUUCCACAUUGAAGCUACCUCUUAUAUUUUGGGGAUUAGAAAUCAUAAUCUGUUGAAAAAACGCUAUGUUUUGAUGUUUAUUAAAAGAAAGUAUGUUUUUGUGUCUGAUUUCAUAACUUAAAUUAUUGUCUCCCCUAACUUAUUAGCAUUUUUCAGGCCUCCUCCUUGAACUAUUAUGAUUGAGGUGUAGCUGGUGUGAAUCCAAUCAAAAGAUUAAAAGUUAUUCAGGGUGAUACAUUUUCUUUUUGCACAUUGUUCAUACUUAAAAUUGUAUUAAUAUAGCACCUGAAAUUAAAAUAUCUAAGUCAGAUAAAGGAAAAGAAUAUCUGGCUUUUCAAAUUGGAAAUAAUCUUGUGUUUGUUAUUUUAUUUUAUUAAAUAAAUUUACAGAUGAAAUCGUACAUCAAACUUUGUUUUUAAAACCCAUGUUAUUUCCUUUAUGCUAUUAGUUUUUAUAUGAAUUUAAUAAUUAUAUAAUAUUUAGGGUCAUCAAAUGUGUGCACGGUUUUACUGAAUUUUUUGCAUUCUGGUUUAGUUAAAUUUGGAACAGGAUUAAUACUUUUGCUGGAACAGUGGUAGAAAGUGGGAAAGAUAUGAGGAGAUGAACUUAGUGCUCAAAAUUAUGUUUAUGUAUUAUAGUACUUAUCUUAGAUGACCAGUUUAAUCUCUUUUAAGGGCACCAUAUUUUGUGUUAUCUGAAACUGAAAAAUGAAACGAAUUUGUUCAGUAUAUAUUCAAACAAAAGCCAAUUGCAUAGUCUUUAGCAUUGAUUCCUUAAUUUAAAAUUUUUUAUUGUUUAAUUGCUGAAUUUCUUUUUUCUUUUAUUCAUUCCAAAAACAAAAAAAAUCUUAUUGUAUUUUAACUAAAAUAAAAUCCUUCUGAUAAGAGUAUUUUUUAGUCUUUAUUACCCACCAACAAUUUCUGAAAUAAAAUAAUAAAAUUACUUCAUAAUGAUUCCACUGUUUCCAACCAACUAUGCUUACUUAUCCUAUAUGUGCUAUUCAUUGUUUUCUAUCCAUUCUUAAUAGUUUUAAAAGUGAAACAGCGGAAGAUUUGUUGAACUAUGUAAUGAAUGAUUGAAAUAAUUCCAGAGAUAUGCUGUCUUAAUUUAGACAUUAAUACCCUACCACCUUUUACAAAGACUUAUGUUUCUCAAUCUUCAUGAUAGUUGAUUAUUAAGAUGCUGCUAAACACAUGUUAAAUGGAAUUGUAGAAAGAUUUUUCAUUCUUUUUCAUGUAAUCUUUUUCAAUAAAUGUGAAAAUGUUUCUUUUUA